AGGGGCUGAGGCCUCCCAUGGUGACUUUCCUUGAUAGGCUCACAGGCCAGAGAGAUCUGCAGCCUGGCAUCUUUCUGGAGGUUCCUGGUUGCCAUGCCUACCAUAGAAGGUGUGAUGACCACAGGCUGUGAAGUGGACUCCUUAAGACCCAGGCACAUGGAGUCCAGAAUCCAGCCUGUCUCUGCAGAUGCAGGCCAUAGUCCUCCCAGGGGGGACCAGCAAAGAAUGAAAAUGGCACCCUAAGAUGGAGCCUCCUGAGGUCCUAGGUAGCUGGCAGCUCCCCUUCAUCCCUGUGGUCCAGAGGAAGGGAGACAGUGGCCAUUGCGCUGUCCUGCAUUGCUCCGUGACACAAGCUAUGCAGCCCUUUGUUGUAAGACAGCUCGGGUGAGGGAAGUGUCCCAGUGUCCCACACACUUA
rnacentral:lncRNA from 1 species